rnacentral:tRNA from 1 species
GGGGGUGUGGCUCAGAGGUAGAGCACUCACCUAGCAUGUGUGAGGCCCUGGGUUCAAUCCUCAGCACCACAU